CCCUUAGAUGUUCUGGGCCGCACGCGCGCUACACUGAUGCAUUCAACAAGCCUAGCCUUGACUGAGAGGUCCGGGUAAUCUUUGAAACUGCAUCGUGAUGGGGCUAGAUUAUUGCAAUUAUUAAUCUUCAACGAGGAAUGCCUAGUAAGCGUGAUUCAUCAAAUCGCGUUGAUUACGUCCCUGCCCUUUGUACACACCGCCCGUCGCUCCUACCGAUUGAAUGUGUUGGUGAGGAGCUCGGAUUGGCAGCAGUUGGUGGUUCGCCACCGGCUAUUGCUGAGAAGUCCUCCAAACCGCCCCAUUUAGAGGAAGGAGAAGUCGUAACA
rnacentral:rRNA from 1 species